rnacentral:rRNA from 1 species
GUGAGGAAUUUUCCGCAAUGGGCGAAAGCCUGACGGAGCAAUGCCGCGUGAAGGAUGAAGGCCUAUGGGUUGUAAACUUCUUUUCUCAGAAAAGAAUUAUGACGGUAUCUGAGGAAUAAGCAUCGGCUAACUCUGUGCCAGCAGCCGCGGUAAGACAGAGGAUGCAAGCGUUAUCCGGAAUGAUUGGGCGUAAAGCGUCUGUAGGUUGUUUAAAAAGUAUUCUGUUAAAGAUUAGGGCUUAACCCUAGAUAGGCAGAAUAAACUUUUAAGCUAGAGUUUGGUAGAGGCAGAGGGAAUUCCCGGUGGAGCGGUGAAAUGCGUAGAUAUCGGGAGGAACACCAAAGGCGAAGGCACUCUGCUGGGCCAAUACUAACACUGAGAGACGAAAGCGAGGGGAGCAAAUGGGAUUAGAAACCCUAGUAGUCC